GACGAACGCUGGCGGCGUGCCUAAUACAUGCAAGUUGAGCGCUGAAGGUUGGUACUUGUACCGACUGGAUGAGCAGCGAACGGGUGAGUAACGCGUGGGGAAUCUGCCUUUGAGCGGGGACAACAUUUGGAAACGAAUGCUAAUACCGCAUAAAAACUUUAAACACAAGUUUUAAGUUUGAAAGAUGCAAUUGCAUCACUCAAAGAUGAUCCCGCGUUGUAUUAGCUAGUUGGUGAGGUAAAGGCUCACCAAGGCGAUGAUACAUAGCCGACCUGAGAGGGUGAUCGGCCACAUUGGGACUGAGACACGGCCCAAACUCCUACGGGAGGCAGCAGUAGGGAAUCUUCGGCAAUGGACGAAAGUCUGACCGAGCAACGCCGCGUGAGUGAAGAAGGUUUUCGGAUCGUAAAACUCUGUUGGUAGAGAAGAACGUUGGUGAGAGUGGAAAGCUCAUCAAGUGACGUUAACUACCCAGAAAGGGACGGCUAACUACGUG
rnacentral:rRNA from 1 species